AUUGAACGCUGGCGGCAGGCUUAACACAUGCAAGUCGAACGCCCCGCAAGGGGAGUGGCAGACGGGUGAGUAACGCGUGGGAAUCUACCUAGUUCUACGGAACAACACAGGGAAACUUGUGCUAAUACCGUAUACGCCCUACGGGGGAAAGAUUUAUCGGAAUUAGAUGAGCCCGCGUAAGAUUAGCUAGUUGGUGGGGUAACGGCCUACCAAGGCGACGAUCUUUAGCUGGUCUGAGAGGAUGAUCAGCCACACUGGGACUGAGACACGGCCCAGACCCCUACGGGAGGCAGCAGUGGGGAAUAUUGGACAAUGGGCGAAAGCCUGAUCCAGCCAUGCCGCGUGAGUGAUGAAGGCCUUAGGGUUGUAAAGCUCUUUCAGUGGGGAAGAUAAUGACGGUACCCACAGAAGAAGCCCCGGCUAACUACGUGCCAGCCGCCGCAGUAAGAC
rnacentral:rRNA from 1 species